AAGUCGAGCGCGCCUUCGGGCGAGCGGCGGACGGGUUAGUAACGCGUGGGAACGUGCCCAGAUCUACGGAAUAGCCACUGGAAACGGUGAGUAAUACCGUAUACGCCCUUUGGGGGAAAGAUUUAUCGGAUUUGGAUCGGCCCGCGUUAGAUUAGGUAGUUGGUGGGGUAACGGCCUACCAAGCCUACGAUCUAUAGCUGGUUUUAGAGGAUGAUCAGCAACACUGGGACUGAGACACGGCCCAGACUCCUACGGGAGGCAGCAGUGGGGAAUCUUGGACAAUGGGGGCAACCCUGAUCCAGCCAUGCCGCGUGAGUGAAGAAGGCCCUAGGGUCGUAAAACUCUUUCGCCUGUGAUGAUAAUGACAGUAGCAGGUAAAGAAACCCCGGCUAACUCCGUGCCAGCAGCCGCGGUAAAUACGGAGGGGGU
rnacentral:rRNA from 1 species